UAAUACUUGUUCCCUUCCUGCCCCACUGGCCUGUUGGGAGGCAUAAGUAGACUCAUAGCAUGCUAGGUCCUCCCUUUUCAUUAUCUUCCUAGGAAAACAGUUACCCAUAGGAGCCCAGAACCUUGCCUAGAGUCACCCUGCCAGCAAGUGGCAGAGCUGCGAUUUGAAUCUGGGGCUUAUGCAUCUGAUUCUGCUGAGGAUGUCAAAUUACCAGGCUUUGGUCUAAGCAGAAGUCAGGGGACAGCAGUGAAAAGAGCACGGUUCCACACCUUGAUGCCGUCUCUCACUUUCCCUCUGUGUGACCUUGGGGCAUCCUGGUAUUGGAGAGAAGGACUCAGGCCCCAGAAAUGAAGCAAAAACAGCCCAAUUUCCAAUACUGAUUACUUUGGACCAGAACCGUACACAGAAAAAGAGGACACUUGGUUUUUGUUGUUUGUUUUUUGUUUUUUUUGAAAAAAAAUAAAGGAAUGAGGCAAACAAA
rnacentral:lncRNA from 1 species